CCCAUUGUUGAAGAGGCUGAUAAUUGUAAAGCCACUAAGUUACUGACUAAGUGACAAUUAACCAAGGAAAGCAUGUGAUAUGCAUAAUAAACGUUAAACACAUUUUCACAAUUUGCAGACGAACUUUUGUGUGCACGCAUACAUGCUAGAAAGCAGUCAAUUACUAUGGCAACCACAGGGGCAUCAAGAGUUGCACAACUGGUGUGUUAUCUCCUCUUCCGACUGCUUUUACCAUGCGUUCUCUUAGUCGGUGCUGUGGUGAGAUACAAUGCUGUGUCGUUUUUGUACACGGUGUUCUUGUUGCUGUGUCCACUCAUGCCAGCCCCAACAUCAGUAACAAUCAGAGGUUGCACAGGCUUGUACCUGCGGUUUGUGUUUGGGCUGGGACUGCUUGCAAGUCUUGCCCACGGAGUUUUCCAUAUCACACUCAAGGCUAUGGCUACUGAUAGCAAGCCAUAUGGGUCCAUGUUUACAAACUGUUCUACAUAUGAACAGUUGGUCAGACAGAUUGGCCUGGAAAGGUUGGACACUGCUCCAACUGUUGACAUCUUCCGACUUGUCAUACCGGACGUGGCAGUGUUUGUGACAGCGCUGAUUGUCUACAUCGUCUGCUGGAAGCUGCUCCCGGUAGAAGCGGGGCAGUGCCAGUCUGAACUACCCACGGUCGUGAGGUCUCAGCUGAAGCGAAAGGUCAUCAGCGUCGUGGAGUUCAUUGGCGAGGCCAUGUUGGUGUUACUGCUGGCAGCUAGUGGAAUCAUUGCCCCGAGUGUCUUGUCUUCAGUGUACUUUUUGUCUUUCCUGUUUUUAGCGACUUUAUGGUCGAUGUAUGGCAACCUUGGUCGGAAGUUUGCUGUGUUCCGUGUUUUUUUACUGGUGUUCAACACGUGCCAUAUACUAGUCCUGCACCUCUACCAAUUUCAGUUCUUUCAGCAGGUUAUCUCACCAACAGACUUCAUAGCAAGGUUGCUAGGACUGAUCGCUGUGGUGAAGACUGACUGCAGCAGCCCAUACCAGAUCUUCUUCUACGACACUUCAAAAUGGCAGAACUUUAUCAAUCCAGGCAUUCUGCUGAUACUGUUCUAUACCUUGGCAGUCGAAAUACGACACCAUUGCGAGGACAAGACACUGGUCUUGUCCCACCAACCUGACGCAGCCAGGACACAAAAAACUAGGAGGCAUCGUCAGCGGAAACGAGGUUCUGAGCGUGAGGUACCAAGGACACUGGAUGAGAGCCAGAAAGAGCACUUGGUGGGAGCGGAGAUACGGGACUACAGCAGCCUGGAGCCGAUUAACGACACCAUGGACCGGGAAGGUUCCCCAACCAUGCUCGGUGAGGAGGCAGGAACCAAAAACUCGGAAGGGAACCAAGAACAGGAUGAGGGGCCAAAGCGGUCUGCCUGGGUGACGUUUUUCGUUUACGUCAUGCGACAAAGCUACGUGCUGUCUCUGAUAGCUAUGAUGGUGUGGAGUAUCCUGUUCCACAGCUGGCUCACGUUUGUACUGCUGUUGUCCGCCUGCAUCAUCUGGAUGUUCUCCAAUUCCCGGCGCAUCUGCUACGUCCUCUCGCCCUUCAUACUCUUCUAUGGGAUCGGGUUGCUGUGCAUCCAGUUUGUGUUCGGUAUGGACCUCCAGAAGGAGUUACCCAUUGAGAGCUAUGGCAUACAGCUAGGGGACAUCGGUCUCAGGAAGUACCCACACCCUUGUAAAGAGCUCGCAAUUCAGGUGGCAUUUACUCUAUGUUUUUGGCUCACCCUACGCCAGUAUGUCCGCGAGAAACGGGACUCUGUUCUGGCAGAUGGAGAGAAAUACCCGCUAGAAACCGUGGGGGGAACAGCACCCACGACUCCUAACUCACGCAAAUCCUUUACAGAGAUGAUACAAUCAAGGCCGGUGGGUAUGGAUUCAAUGGAGGGGUCCGACAGUAGCACAAUGGUUUGGAUAGGCCUGUAUGUGUGGACCCUGCUGUGCAAGUACUGGAUCCUGGUCUGUGCCAGUAUGCUGCUGGUGAUCUCUCUACAGGAGGUGGUCGUCUACAGGAUCAUCUACAUGAUCCUCUUCCUGCUCUUUGUUCUCACCUUCCAGUUUGCGUUCACUUUCUGGCGUGUGACGAUGCGCCUGUUCUGGUGGCUUGUGAUCCUGUACUCAAUGCUGGUACUGAUCAUCCUCUACACAUAUCAGUUUGACAAUGUGGCCGAGGCUUGGCGAAACACAACGAAACUCAGCGAUGACACGUUGGCAGACAUUGGUCUGGAGCACUUCGACACGACAGGCUUGUUUAUCCGUCUACUUACGCCAACGUGUUUCUUGAUUCUCGUGAUACUGCAGGUGCACUAUUUCCAUCAGCCGUUCAUGCACCUAAGUGACAUCAACAGAUACAAGAAAGCUGAGAUGGAGGGACCCACCACACCUGUCUUACCUGUCUCACCUGGCUCGCACACCACCGUCACAGAGGGAUCAAUGGAUGCCAACAAAAAAAAGACUGUGGGUAAAAGGUUUAAAGCCUGUGUAAAAAGAACCUGGAUCAAGGCUGGUGAGAUCUGGGAUUUGAUCACCUGGUUUCUAUGGCGACUGGCAGAAAUACACAUCUUCAAGGUUGUUGCGUUCAUCAUCAUCAUGACUUGCGUUUAUGAGGUGUCUGCAGUGAGUGCGGUGUACGUGAUUCUGCUGGCUGUGUUCCUGCCCAUGACGGGGCUCUGGUUCGUGCUCUCCCACCUGGCGCUGCUCUGGACAGCCCUGGUCAUCCUCUCCAAGAUGAUCUAUCAACUGGAUCUGGUCGACAACAAGCCCUGGCUCACUAACUGUACGGGCAACAUAUCCCAAAACUGGCCAUUCAACGAGACCAUCAACAAUGCCAAGUGGGUGGGGAUGGACAGAUCAGAACACCUUGGAUAUUACUUGAGGAAUUACAUUGGCAUACUGCUGCUCAUUGUCCUGGAGCGUAUUGUGGUGUACCGUCAGACCCAGUACUACAACACGCCCGGGGUUGUCAAGCCCAAAACCGGCAUCAUUUUCAGUGACAUCCAACGCAAACAGGCUGAUGAGGGCCUCAUUGAAUGCGGAAAGUUCUUCUUGAACUAUUUCUUCUACAAGUUCGGACUAGAGCUGUGCUUCAUAAUGACAGCCAUCACCAUCUGCGUGCGUGUGGACGCCUACUCGAUGCUAUACGCGGUACUGCUGGGUAUUCAGCUGCUCCUGAGUAGGCGGUGCUGCGCCCGGGUUUGGCCGGUCUACACCAUCAUACUGGUCAUACUGCUGCCUCUCCAGUACCUGCUGGCACUGGGUCUGCCAGUCGGCUUCUGCUAUCAGUACCUGUGGGAUGCCACAGUGUGGAUCUUGAAGGAGGACGAGACAAUGGAGCUGGAACAAUGGUUCUACCUCCCGGACUACUUAAGCCCCCCAAACUCCAUCAAACUGGUCGCGGACUUCUUUCAACUGCUAUUUGUGUGCCUUCAGUGGAGGGUGUUUAGGAAGGAAAUGAGAUUCAAGGGGGUGGAGCUUGACGGAGGGACCAACGAGGACAUUUUGCCUGAAGUAGAGGCCAAGCAGCCAAUACCGGUGUCUGACUUCACCACCAAGAUAACAAAGUACAGGAAAGUAUCAUACAGCUCCUACCUAGACGUUGUGAAGAACUUCGUGUUCGUGUACAUGUUCUGGGUGACACUGGCGAUAGUGUUCAUUGCGGGAACGUCGCGUAUCAACCUGUUCAGCAUGGGGUACGUGAUGGCUGUGUUCUACUUCAUGUGGUUUGAGCGGGAGUUCCUGAUUAAGCCUCUGAGAAGACUCUUGAGAGCGUGGAAUGGACUACUUGGACUCUGCUACUUCAUCAUGCUGCUGAAAGCUGCACUCCAGUUGCCCAGCUGUGUGUACAUUGACUUGAUCAGCUCCAAGGCUUGCUGGGUGGUGCAACUUUUGGGGAUGACCUGCUUGCGCCCUGGAUAUGUACCAAAAAAAGCUGACACAGACUGCGUGGUGGCUGAUGACAACACAGGCCUGUCCUUGGACGUGGUCUGCUUUGUCUUCCUGCUGUUGCAGCGCAAGAUCUACACGAGCCACUACUUCAGACACGUUGUGGCGGACUUUGAGGCACAGAACAGGCUGGCUUCCAGAGGGUGUCAGCUGAUCAACCGCAUCCUGAUGCAGCAGGUCGACAAACAGAAGAAAGAAGAGAAGCAGAUCAUCUACGCAAUCAAGAAGAAGAUGAGAUCACUCAAGGAGAAGCAGAAGAACAUCAAGAAGAAGUUUGUGGAACCAGAAGAGCACUUUCAAGCUAUUCGUUCUGGAGACUACUACCUGUUUGACGAAUCUGAAGAUGAGACAGAGGUGGAUGAUGAGAUCAAUACUAUCACAUUUGGUCAGGAUCCUGUUGGGGAGGAGGAUAAGGCUCUCAGUCCUAUUAAGCUGAUGACAACUGCAAUGACAUCUGGUGUGAAUGAAGCGGUGAAACAAUCUGAGCAAGACGAAAAGGACCUUGAUAGGGGACGCAGUCCAAGGCCCACCAGUCCGUCAGCAACAACUGAUACGCCUGAUGCUGCUGCGGAGCCUGACAAUCAGAAAAUUGUUGCUACGGUGACUGAAGAGAAAAAAGAAGGGGAGAAGGGAACAGAAGAAGAACAGAAGGGUGAAGGCAUUGACAAAGUGAAGACCAUAUUCAGUUUCAUUGUUGCUCUGUUGGUGAGCUGUGCCGACUGGAUGACGGCACUUUUCAAUCGUAUUUCCCGUAACUACAGACUGGUGGCAGCCAAAAUGAAGGACGAUCACAUCCGCGUCAAGUUGCAAAUUCAGUCAGAGACAGGACACAUCACUGCGACAAACAUUGAGAUGAGGGAACCAGAUGGUGAACAAAAAGGAGCCACAGGAGCUAGUGAUGACCUCAUGGAGGUUUCUGUUCAGCCUGUGAAGACGGUUGAUACACCUAUGGUACCUGUCAGUAGCAAACUCAGUCUGUCAGGGAUCGACCUGGACAGGUUUGAGGAGGAGGAGGAGGCCUUUGAGAAGAAGCAGUCCUGCAUCUAUAGGCUGCUGGUUGCCACCUACUUUGCCAUUGUUGCACGGACAGAGAUGCUGUGCUACUUCCUGAUGGUGCUGAACCACAUCCUGUCAGCCAGCCUGCUUUCCCUGCCCCUGCCCAUGUUUGCCUUCCUGUGGGGCAUGCUGUCCGUGCCUCGCCCCACCAAGACAUUCUGGAUCACCGUCAUCACAUACACAGAGGCGGUUGUCGUUGUGAAGUACCUGUUCCAAUUCGGCUUCUUUCCCUGGAACAACACGAUUUAUGAUGAGCCAUUCUUCCCGCCGAGAAUCAUCGGUAUAGAGCAGAAGGACAACUUCUGGGUGAUGGAUCUCAUUCUGCUCAUUGCUCUAUUCCUCCACAGGACCAUACUCAAGCGAUACGGGCUAUGGAAAGACGAAGAGAAGAUCAUCAUAGAUGACAGCAAGAUGUCCUCACCCCCUAUGUCUAACAUUGAGGCAACCCAGGAGGAGAUAGAGGAGAUGGAGGCCCUACGAAGGGUAAGUCGGUCCUCCAGUAUGCAAGCUGAGCCCUCCAUGAUGAAAUCCCCAUCGUGGACCUCCAGCCUAGCGAAGAGCCAGAGGCCUGAAGAUGACUGUGACAGCCGGGAUGGAAAGGAGGGGAAGAGCUUCGGUGUCAAAGCCCUCUUUAAGCCUUUCAUCAACUUCUACAAGCAGCUGACCUGUCCUGAUUACAACGCCACCACAGAUGUUUAUGCGGCCAUGUUUGUCUGCGAUUUCAUCAAUUUCCUGAUCAUCGUCUUUGGUUAUCAGGGUUUUGGACCAUCUCAAUCAGCGUCGGGUGAUGUGGCCUCAUACAUCUCAGAAAACAGGAUUCCCAUCCCAUUUCUGAUCAUGCUUCUGGCCCAGUUCAUCCUGAUUAUCGUGGAUCGGGCGCUUUAUCUCCGCAAGAACAUCCUCGGCAAGUUCAUCUUCCAGAUCCUUCUGGUGAUUCUCAUACACGUCUGGAUGUUCUUCAUCAUUCCCUAUUGGACUGGAAAAUCCUUCACCAACAACAAGCCAGCAGCCCUCUGGUAUUUCCUAAAGUGCGUCUACUUCUACCUGUCAGCCUACCAGAUCAAGUGCUCCUACCCUACACGCAUUUUAGGGAACUUCCUCACCAAGAAGUACAACUACUUGAACCUCUUCCUCUUUAAAGGUUUUCUGGCUAUACCAUUCCUGCUUGAGUUACGCACCCUUAUGGACUGGAUCUGGACUAACACGACAAUGGCCAUUGGAAGCUGGCUGCAGAUGGAGGAUAUCUAUGCCAACAUUUACAUACUCAAGUGUUAUCGGGUCAUUGAGAAGGAGUACCCAACGCCAAGAGCUACACCAAAGAGUGCUCUUAUCAAGUAUGGUGUUGGCGGACUGUUGUUAUUCGUAGUAAUAUUCAUCAUCUGGUUUCCCCUGGUGCUAUUUUCAUUUGCAAACACCGUGUAUCAGCCAAACCCACCGAUUGAGUGCAGAGUGUCAGUUGCAUUGGCUGGAUAUCAGCCCCUGUUUGAAAUAAUCGGUCAGCAGCAGAACAUUUUGCAGUUCAGCGAUUCUGAGUUCAGUGCCAUGAAAAAGGGAGUUGACAGAAACAAGGCUGCCACCUCCUUCUUAAAUAACUACAAGACAGAGGAUGUGACCAAGAUUUUGCUGAAUGGAAACACCACAUCAGUAUGGACUAUAAGUCCGCCCAGCCGUAAACAGCUGGUUGAGGACCUGCUGAACCCUAAAGUAACCAUGAACUUGGACUUCUACGUGACCUUUGGCAGAGCACCUCAUGAUCAGACUGGGGAAAGUAUCAGUCAGCAGUUCCGUAAAGAGCUCACCGUAGAAAACAGGAACGAGACAGCCGAACUUCUGAGAGGGAAAAUCACCAAACCAGUACAAAUAAGCAAUGUGUUUCCGCUGUACAUUCGACUGGCAAAGAAUUCAGCAUCUCCGGUGACAGCACUUCUUGGGCUUGGCACUGGGAACUAUACUGCCAUAGAAAUUUCGCUGCAAAGUGAUAAUAGCACAGACCAAACAUUAUUUUGGUGGCAAAUAAAUGUCCCAGAAAAUCACCCGGACAAUUUCAUCAAAAUACUGACGUUCAACGACCGUGUGGCGCCUGCUGGAUUUGCUCUCAUUACUGGAUACGGAAUCAUAGGCUUGUAUGUGUCGUUAGUACUCGUGAUAGGCCGCUUUGUGCGCGUCUUCUUCAGUGACAUGUCGAAAACAAUCAUGUUUGACGAGCUACCCAAUGUUGACGGCAUUCUCAGCCUUUGCUUGAACCUCUACUUGGCGCGAGAAUGUGGAGAAUAUCGACUCGAAGAACAGCUGUUUUCAAAACUGCUUUUUGUUUAUAGGUCUCCAGAAGUUAUGAUCAGGUUUACAAAGCCUAAGACUGAGUAGGUUAUGUUCAUAAAGCCUAAGACUGAGUAGGUUAUGUUCAUAAAGCCUUAGACUGAGUAGGUUAUGUUCAUAAAGCCUAAGACUGAGUAGAAUUUGUUCAUAAAGCCUUAGACUGAGUAGGUUAUGUUCAUAAAGCCUUAGACUGAGUAGGUUAUGUUCAUAAAGCCUUAGACUGAGUAGGUUAUGUUCAUAAAGCCUAAGACUGAGUAGAAUUUGUUCAUAAAGCCUUAGACUGAGUAGGUUAUGUUCAUAAAGCCUUAGACUGAGUAGGUUAUGUUCAUAAAGCCUAAGACUGAGUAGAAUUUGUUCAUAAAGCCUUAGACUGAGUAGGUUAUGUUCAUAAAGCCUAAGACUGAGUAGGUUAUGUUCAUAAAGCCUAAGACUGAGAAGUAUAUGUUCAAUUGUUCAUGUGUUAAGAAGGAUUAACACAGCCGAAGACUGAGCAUUAUAUGUGCAUGUGAAAAGAAAACAGCAGGUUCUAAAUGAUGGUAGUAUUUGCAUGUUGUUUUUAUUAAGAAUUUGUAUUUUACAGUAAAUGAUGAUGAAAUCAUCUUGUUUCAAUGAAGAACAUUUUCUUACUUGUAGAUAUAGAGGAAAGUAAUCCUGAAUUACAAACUAUCAAAAAAUAGUUAAAACAACUAUGUAAUUAGGAAGUUAGUUAGUUAUUAUGUUAAUCUAAAUAUGUUUUGGCAAGGGUCAUUGCUGUCAACACAAUCCUUUGCCUGUGAUUCUAUUAAUCUAUUACCGCAGACACAAACUUAUCACAUACCAUGUUAUCAGACUUUUUAAAACUCAUUUUCGAGUGACACACUUGGAAAAUGUUAAAGGGAUCUGUUCAUGUUUUGGUAAAUUGACCAAAUUGAAAAAAAAUGUUUCAGAUUUGCAAAUUGUCUUUGUAAUUAUGUUAUUUGCGAGUAAAAAAAUUACUGAUCAUUUUCCAUGCUCAAAAAUAUUCAUUAUAUGAAUCUUUUGACGAUUUAAAAACCUGAAAGUUAUAGAGCGUUACAAACACAGAACAAUUGAAUAAAAUGGGGAGUUCUGUUGUUAUUCUUUUAUUUUGUUACACUACCUGGAAUACAUGUAAAAAGUAUAACAUGCACCAUUAACUUUAAAAGCACGGAUGAAAGAGUGCUUUAAGAGCCUGGCCUUAAAUCAAAGGGUCUGUGGUUCGAGCCCAGUUUGGGAUAUUUCUUUUUUUAAUUGUAUUCUUGUUUUUACACUGAUGCUUUUUAGUUCUGAUGUUGACAUUUAUAAAUUUAAACCAUUUUAAUGAUAAAUUUUACACAAAUCUGAAAAAGUCUCUGAAAAAUGUUAUAUGAUUUUCUAGUCAGUGUGUUUUCUGACUGAUGUUUUUGUCUAUAGACCAUACUUUCUUAUAUGUCUAAUGUAUUUGUGUGUUGUUUAAACACCAUUAUAUAGCAGAUGCUUUUUUUGAUUGAUUUAAAACUGAUUAAAAUGCAGCUAUAAAUUAUUUUCAGGUGCAAGGCACUAUUAACUGUUUUGUAACUUCACUAUCAAAUCCUACACAAUCAAUUCCAGAAUGUUUUUUUAAUUGCUUUGAGAUUUUUUAUUUUUUUUUUCACUCAUUUGGAAAUGGGACCUGUAGUAUAUAAAAAAUAACAUUCUUGAAAGUGAGAAAAUAUAAAUAUGAAUAAUGAGUAUCUUAAACUACUUUUAUGACAGUUUCAAGGUUUACGACUGAGAUUUGCAUUUUUCAUUUUUAGGGAGAUUUUCUGUCGUUAGAUUUUCUUAAGUCCAGCUUGUAUGACUACCAUGGCAGGAGGAAUGUGCCCUUCAAAAAACUUUUACAUUUGGAAAAAAACCUUAAUUUCAUAAUUAAUUUGUCUUUUGAGGGACUUCAGUACACUUAAGGUUCGGUCCUCUUACGGAUAUUGAAUUUGUUAUGAAAAAGAAACACAUGGAUACUAAAAAUUGCCACAUUAUAAAGGAUGUAAAGUCUCAGAGCAUUUUUGAUCAGUUACACUCACUAAAAAAUUUAGUUCUUUUAUGUUUGUUUUGUAAAAUCAACAAAUUAAAUAAUGACAUCAUUUGUUUUUUGCAUUUUUUUGCCAACCUUGCCAUGUUGUUAAAAUGAAUCUAUAUUGGCUAUGCUUUGCAGCGUUUCAUGAUUCUUACAGUCUGGGUCAAAAUAUCACAAUUUUAAAUUUGACUGUAACGAUUUUGUCUGUUAAUUAAUUUACUUUGAUUGUUUUAUACAUUUAAGAUUCUGUGAACACAUUUGGUGAUAACUUAUCGGGCAUUUAUGAGAAGAUUUGACAGCUUUGUUCUGAUUUGUCAUAUAAUUGUGUAAAUACUUUAUAAAAUUACCAGGAGAGUUGUACAUUACCUCAUUUACAUAAAUUUGAAUUGGGAAGUUAUGUUUGCCUAUAUAUUGUGCUCAUAAUUUAAUACUCAUAAUCUUGCCAUAGUUUCAUAAUUUAUAUACAAGGAAGGAAAACAAUAUGUGUUGCAGCCAUUAGACUUUUUAUUAUCCUUAUCUUAAUUGUUAAUUAUCAUGAAAUUUAAAUCUAUUAUAUGUGUAGCUUCAUUUUUUUUAAAGUUAUAUGUAAAAUCAUAUUUUUUGUUAUUAAAUUUAUACAUUGAUACCUUAUAACCAGUCCUCACUAGCUCAUUAUAUUUUCAAUUAUUGAACACAACCAGGAAUUAUUUUGUUUGAAGCCAUGACUUUGACCUCGCCCAUCCAAUAUAAAAUCCCAAGCAAGGUCUUGAUAUAAGAUGCAUUUUAAAAUUCCCAUAUGCUAUUGUACAAUUGAGCUGAAUUGUUUUGUGUGUACCUACAUUAAUAUUGACAAGCUGACAGCUCCCACUCAAUAUCUAAUCCCUAGCAAGCUUUACCUUGACCUUAGCCAUCGCCUGCAAUCAUAAAUGAAGUAUUUAUACAAGGUACAUUGUAUCUUUGAAUGCAGUCUAAUUUUAUUGAAAACAUAAAGAACUUUUUCAGUUUUUGGGGCAUUGUCAUAUUUCUUGUUGUAACCUAGUUUCUAUUUAAUGGCUUGAGUUAUAUAAAAACAAUUUCAAACGAGCAAAAUAGUAUCUUGAUGACAAAACGGUUGUUAUUAAAAUGCAUCUUAAUAUCCAGUUUUUUAGAAAAAAAAGAAUAACACUUUGCGAAGCACAAGAAAAGUUGAGCUCUAUUUAAAUGUAUCAGAGUUAUAUAGGCUACAUUUUACGUUGUAAACCAUGUUAACCAUUUUAUUAUUCUUUAAAACUGCGGGUUUUGUUUUUGGGCCUUUUUAAUGCAUUGUUUUGUUUAAUUUAUGCAAUGGUGCAAUAAAUUGUGUAUGCGUUUUUAUACGCCCGUC